CAUGAAGAUCUACUAAUAACUUUCUCGCCAAGUAAUUUGGCGUCAUUGGCUCAUUCUUAUUUCUGGAACUGUGGUUGAAGAGUGGUAUGUUUUUGAUCCAUGUGCGCAAUGGCAAAUUUCAGGUUAUUCGUCAAAUAACCAAAGUUUCUAUUUCUCUGAUUAAUGCAGUUUAUUUGACAGAUGUGUAAUGCUGUUUGUUGAAAAAUGCAUUAGAACCAAUGAUGGUAAGAUCUUGGCCUAGCAAAUUGGUAAAAUAUUACCUGCUCUUAAUUACUGAAUCAUAUUGUAGGAUAAAAUCUGCUGUUUAUGUAUGAAAAUUUGUACUUUAUCUCUGAUUAUGUGGUAUAUGCCCAGAAUUUCAUUAUUAAUGAUCGAUUCAUUAAAAUUACUAUUUUUAAUUGUCUACUUUGUUUUGUGUUGCUGCUGCUCAUUCUGCAUUUUUUUUUGGGGGGGGGAGUAGAUAUAAAAAUUAAUUCUUGUUUUUUCUUUUUUUUCCCUCCAUGUCUCUUUUUAUUGUGCUAGUAAAUUUCUGACUGAACUCAUUUCAAGUUGAAUGUGGUAUUUUCUUUAGCUCAUGUAGAGAUUCAUCAAGUUUUUGCUGGUAAAUUUUUGAGAAAAUUUCAAGUAAAUGUGCCGUUUUUACUUAGUUUGCAUAAAAAUUGUUCUUCUUUAUGCCUCUUUUGAAUAAAUAUGUCAAUUCUUGUUUGUAUUAUUUAAUAUGUUGUUUUGCAUAUUAACACAGUCUAUUUAACAGAUUGAGAUGCGAUUUGUUGAGAAUAUUCAUUAAAACUAAUGCGGGUAAGUUCUUGGCCUAACAGAUUGGUAAAAGAUUUUCUGAUCUUAAUUACUGAAUUUUUUAUUAUAUUCUAGGAUAAAAGUCUGCUUUUUACGUGUGAAAAUUUUUAUUUUAUCUGAUUAUGUGCCAAAUUUGAUGAUUCAAGAAAAAUGCCAUUUCUGUGUGUAGCUAGUUCGUUGUUGCUGUUCGUCAUGCAGUUCUUUUGAAUAUGUAUCAGUUUGAAAAUUUAUUCAUACAUGUGUAUUUUUCUCAUCCAUUUUUGCUGUGCACUUUUCCUGUGAAUAUUAUUUUUAUUUAGUCUAUAUAGAAUUUCCUCUUUGUAUUUUUUUGAAUAAGUAUGAUAAUUAGUUCUUGUUUGUGUUAUUUUAAUGCCCAACAAUUCACUUUCGAAUGUUUGUUAAUUAUAGAA
rnacentral:lncRNA from 1 species